rnacentral:rRNA from 1 species
CCGACGGUGAGAGACGAAAGCUGGGGGAGCAAACCGGAUUAGAUACCCGGGUAGUCCCAGCUGUAAACGAUGCGCGUUAGGUGUGUCAGUGACCACGUGUCACUGAUGUGCCGAAGGGAAACCGUGAAACGCGCCGCCUGGGGAGUACGGUCGCAAGGCUGUAACUUAAAGGAAUUGGCGGGGGAGCACCACAACGGGUGGAGCCUGCGGUUUAAUCGGACUCAACGCCGGAAAUCUCACCGGAUAA